GGCCUCCUUCUGCUUACCACAGGCUGUGUUCUUACACUGACUGUAUAGAAAGAAGAGGCAGAAUAAACCUACCCCAUGUACACCUCAGCUUAGGCCAUUGUGCCUAGUCUGUAUUGUGAAUGGGGAGAUAUGG
ensembl:snoRNA Gm24454 small nucleolar RNA SNORA51